AAAAAGGCAAAUCAUGGAUUUUCGUGUCCAACUUUGACUGUCCGUCUUAUAUGAAAUUUUUUUAUAAUUCAUAUUUUUAUUGUUGUUAGAUUAUAAAACAUGAUUAAUAUUUUAUGCGUGAAUUGUCUUUUUAAUUUUUUUCAUAAUUUUUUUAAAUAAGACGGACAGUCAAACGUUGGGCACGGAAACUAGGGCUUGUCUUUUU
rfam:Oryza glumipatula chromosome 3, whole genome shotgun sequence.